UUUUCGUCAAUUAUCAUCCAAAUUCGUUCAUCAAAUAUUUCACAAUUUCAGCACGCAUCAUUCAAAUCAGAGUCAAAAAUCCAUGGUCUAUCACUACCCAUUACAUUUUAUCCCAUAAUACCCAUUAAUCGAUGAUAAACCCCCCUUACCUGAGUUAAUCCGGCAAUUCCGUUAGCUUCAAGCUUUUCCUCUUCUCUUGCUCUGCCUCCUUGCCCUUUUUCCACUUCCAGCCGCUUCU
rnacentral:lncRNA from 1 species